CAACUGGAGGAUUUUGCUGAAGGACGCACAAUUUCCAUAAGAGAACUAAAGGGCAGCUCACCAAUAUACCGUGAAGUUUGGUUCUACAUCAUUCUUAUCCUCAUACUGCUGCUGUUGCUUCUCCUCCUACUGCUUUUGUACCUUCGACGAAAACCUAAACAGACAUACAAUGUGAGUGAUCGAGAAAGAAAGCGUAAAGUAUAUGAUACACUUGAAAUGGGGAUGAACAAACUUUCACGGAACCUGAAGUGACCUUUGCACCUCCACAAACACAAAAUGCAAGCAAUGCUACUGUUCCACAAUACAAAGACCCCUUAUUGAAAGACAAUGACAGUUUGGAGGAAUAUGGUGGUUCUGAUGACGACUUCUCCGAAACGGGCUCUUUUAUUGGUGAAUAUGGAAAGGAUAAGGGAAAAAGUAUGGAUAUCUCACAAUCCUCAUUUGUAUAACAGAGGAGAAAAUAUUUGGAAAAAUAUGUAUCACAAUCUAUUUUGGAAUGGAUAUAAAAUGAAUUGAAUUAAUGCAAUUGACUUCGUACUGGGAAACAUUAAAUGAACUAGUAAAGGGAUUAAAAAUAUACUUCAAGUUAAAAGAUAUCACAAAACAUUGAAAAGGAAAACAGAUUUUGUUAUGAAAUGGUCGAUUAUAAGCACAAAAAUUGAGCCAAUUAAGUUGAGCAGAUCAAGCUUGUGGAAAUUCUGGAUAUAAUUUAGAACUGCAGUGUUGUGAACAGAUGUAUUGAUGAUAAAUGAAGAAUUACAAGGAGUUACCAACGACAACUUUCACUUCCUAUGUAUCUUUCGAGGAACAUCUAGACUCUCAUGUAAAUCACACCUUUUUAAAUUAUUGUUGAGUUAUGAGCAUAUGGUAGUUAAGUAUUAUUAAUUUACUCUUAAAGGAUGAUCGUCGUGCACAAACAGUCUGGACGUUAUUAAAAUUUUCAUCAAUGGAGGAACUCUUCAAUUUCCAACACUCUAGCCUUUUAGCACAUGGAACAUCUCAGCGUUUAUUCAGGCAACUGCUUUAGAGUAAAUUGUUCUACAUUAAAUUACUCUCAAUACUACGCGUGAAGAAGCAAACCUUACAUCAGAAGAAACUAGCUAUAAGCAUAUGCUUUUACAACACGUCAACUCAAACCAGGUGCUUUUUAACACAAUUAUCAAAUCAAAUCAUAAAAUAGUGACACAUAAACAGCCUGUAUUAUCAAUUUAAAACAAGCAUGAGACGAAAAUAAUACAAGGAAGUAAUACUACUGAAAUAUUACGUAAAAUAAAUGUAUUUUUACAUACCAAAAA